rnacentral:rRNA from 1 species
CGAAAAGAACCCCGGCGAGGGGAGUGAAAAAGAACCUGAAACCGUGUACGUACAAGCAGUGGGAGCCUCUUUAUGGGGUGACUGCGUACCUUUUGUAUAAUGGGUCAGCGACUUAUAUUCUGUAGCAAGGUUAACCGAAUAGGGGAGCCGAAGGGAAACCGAGUCUUAACUGGGCGUUAAGUUGCAGGGUAUAGACCCGAAACCCGGUGAUCUAGCCAUGGGCAGGUUGAAGGUUGGGUAACACUAACUGGAGGACCGAACCGACUAAUGUUGAAAAAUUAGCGGAUGACUUGUGGCUGGGGGUGAAAGGCCAAUCAAACCGGGAGAUAGCUGGUUCUCCCCGAAAGCUAUUUAGGUAGCGCCUCGUGAAUUCAUCUCCGGGGGUAGAGCACUGUUUCGGCAAGGGGGUCAUCCCGACUUACCAACCCGAUGCAAACUGCGAAUACCGGAGAAUGUUAUCACGGGAGACACACGGCGGGUGCUAACGUCCGUCGUGAAGAGGGAAACAACCCAGACCGCCAGCUAAGGUCCCAAAGUCAUGGUUAAGUGGGAAACGAUGUGGGAAGGCCCAGACAGCCAGGAUGUUGGCUUAGAAGCAGCCAUCAUUUAAAGAAAGCGUAAUAGCUCACUGGUCGAGUCGGCCUGCGCGGAAGAUGUAACGGGGCUAAACCAUGCACCGAAGCUGCGGCAGCGACGCUUAUGCGUUGUUGGGUAGGGGAGCGUUCUGUAAGCCUGUGAAGGUGUACUGUGAGGUAUGCUGGAGGUAUCAGAAGUGCGAAUGCUGACAUAAGUAACGAUAAAGCGGGUGAAAAGCCCGCUCGCCGGAAGACCAAGGGUUCCUGUCCAACGUUAAUCGGGGCAGGGUGAGUCGACCCCUAAGGCGAGGCCGAAAGGCGUAGUCGAUGGGAAACAGGUUAAUAUUCCUGUACUUGGUGUUACUGCGAAGGGGGGACGGAGAAGGCUAUGUUGGCCGGGCGACGGUUGUCCCGGUUUAAGCGUGUAGGCUGGUUUUCCAGGCAAAUCCGGAAAAUCAAGGCUGAGGCGUGAUGACGAGGCACUACGGUGCUGAAGCAACAAAUGCCCUGCUUCCAGGAAAAGCCUCUAAGCAUCAGGUAACAUCAAAUCGUACCCCAAACCGACACAGGUGGUCAGGUAGAGAAUACCAAGGCGCUUGAGAGAACUCGGGUGAAGGAACUAGGCAAAAUGGUGCCGUAACUUCGGGAGAAGGCACGCUGAUAUGUAGGUGAAGCGACUUGCUCGUGGAGCUGAAAUCAGUCGAAGAUACCAGCUGGCUGCAACUGUUUAUUAAAAACACAGCACUGUGCAAACACGAAAGUGGACGUAUACGGUGUGACGCCUGCCCGGUGCCGGAAGGUUAAUUGAUGGGGUUAGCGGUAACGCGAAGCUCUUGAUCGAAGCCCCGGUAAACGGCGGCCGUAACUAUAACGGUCCUAAGGUAGCGAAAUUCCUUGUCGGGUAAGUUCCGACCUGCACGAAUGGCGUAAUGAUGGCCAGGCUGUCUCCACCCGAGACUCAGUGAAAUUGAACUCGCUGUGAAGAUGCAGUGUACCCGCGGCAAGACGGAAAGACCCCGUGAACCUUUACUAUAGCUUGACACUGAACAUUGAGCCUUGAUGUGUAGGAUAGGUGGGAGGCUUUGAAGUGUGGACGCCAGUCUGCAUGGAGCCGACCUUGAAAUACCACCCUUUAAUGUUUGAUGUUCUAACGUUGGCCCCUGAUCGGGGUUGCGGACAGUGUCUGGUGGGUAGUUUGACUGGGGCGGUCUCCUCCUAAAGAGUAACGGAGGAGCACGAAGGUUGGCUAAUCCUGGUCGGACAUCAGGAGGUUAGUGCAAUGGCAUAAGCCAGCUUGACUGCGAGCGUGACGGCGCGAGCAGGUGCGAAAGCAGGUCAUAGUGAUCCGGUGGUUCUGAAUGGAAGGGCCAUCGCUCAACGGAUAAAAGGUACUCCGGGGAUAACAGGCUGAUACCGCCCAAGAGUUCAUAUCGACGGCGGUGUUUGGCACCUCGAUGUCGGCUCAUCACAUCCUGGGGCUGAAGUAGGUCCCAAGGGUAUGGCUGUUCGCCAUUUAAAGUGGUACGCGAGCUGGGUUUAGAACGUCGUGAGACAGUUCGGUCCCUAUCUGCCGUGGGCGCUGGAGAACUGAGGGGGGCUGCUCCUAGUACGAGAGGACCGGAGUGGACGCAUCACUGGUGUUCGGGUUGUCAUGCCAAUGGCACUGCCCGGUAGCUAAAUGCGGAAGAGAUAAGUGCUGAAAGCAUCUAAGCACGAAACUUGCCCCGAGAUGAGUUCUCCCUGAGACUUUAAGUCUCCUGAAGGAACGUUGAAGACGACGACGUUGAUAGGCCGGGUGUGUAAGCGCAGCGAUGCGUUGAGCUAACCGGUACUAAUGAACCGUGAGGCUUAACCUUACAACGCCGAAG